GCAAACGUGACUGCAACAGCCAGCCCAGACAGAUGAAAUAGACACCGAGUUUAACUCGCCACAAUGUAGGCUGCCAACGCAUGCGUGUUGGCAUCGUUACCCGUUCUAGAAGGAAGGUGGAGUAAGCGUGGGAAUAUUAAUAGAGAAAGCCUGACAGACAAACGGCGCAAAACAAAUAGCAACCAGCAGCAACUCGACCAAGCAACACUAGCCGUCCUUUAAAUUUAUCUAUAACAGGGCAAUCAGUUCCAGAUCAGAUCGAUACUUUUAUAUAAAAGAAAGGAAGAGCUCUCUUUGUUCUCGCCCGACCAUUAUCUGAGGAUGUAAUGAUUAAAGAGAUUGGACAUUUUGAUGGCAUUCGACGAGUGGGCUUUUUUUGGGCUGUGCCAAGAUCUGUCGUUUUCUACGAGAGUUUGGGGAAUCCUUUGUUCCCGUGAACGAGGGGCACUUGGCACUGUCUAUGGUGCUGAAAUCCCAAGCGAAACAUCGGUGGCUCGGCAACUCAACAGCACAAAGGAAUCCAACCUCGGUGGAUUGAAACCUGUUGGGAGACUGACUUCAAAACAUCACAGGGGGCCUUUCUAUUUGCAACCCAGUCAAUUGCUAUAAGCGACAUUGUUCUGUGAGCUUCAAUCUCCUCACCGACAGGAGUUGUUCUCAGUAAACAGCUACAAGUGGAUUCUGUAAAAGGUUUCAAAUUCAGCUUGGCUCUGAUUCAUCCUGACCAUGCGUUUCAGGAACACCUUUCUUUAUUCUGUUCCAUUGCUCGUCAUUCUGCUGGUGCGUUGUUGUUGGUUAGUCUGUGUUGAGGUUCCUUCAGACACUGAAGCUUUACAUGGGACCAACAUGAAACUCACUUGCAUUUCCUGCAUGAAGAGAGAAGAAGUCAAUACAGACACUAUGGUUGAAUGGACCUACGUUACCAAUGAUGGGAAGGAGAUAGCAAUUUAUGAGUACAACGGAGAGCCACGAGAGCUAAAAGGACCUUAUCAGGGCAGGAUUCUGUGGAAUGGAAGUAAAGACCUACAAGAUGUAUCCAUAACCAUAGUGAAUGUUACACUAAACGACAGCGGUCUGUACCGGUGCACGAUCAAACGGUAUUUUAAUUAUGAGAUACACAGACCCUCUGUGACGGAUGUGAAAGAAGUGCAGCUAACAGUACAUGAAGACGCCCUUGAAGAUUUUACAGCAUACAUUUCAGAAAUCAUGAUGUAUCUUCUCCUUGUUUUCCUCACUUUAUGGCUUGUUAUAGAAAUGAUAUAUUGCUAUAGGAAGAUCCUGAAAUCAGAAGAAGCUGCACAAGAAAAUGCAACAGACUACCUGGCGAUACCUUCUGGAAACAAAGAGAAUCAGUCCACGGUUCCUGUGGAGGAGUAGGAAUGCAUUCAAUUUUGACAGUGGAUAACUUGAUCAGGGAUUCAAAUAUACGUCAGGAGCAGCUACUUGUUGGAGCAGCCUACAUUCAAAAUGAUCCCGUACACAUAUUACCGAGCUCUGCUAGUUUGUAUGUUCAACUUAUAUUCACACGUAAGCAAGUUCUUUCCAAUUAAGGUUCUGCAAUCCCUAGGAUGAUCAGCCACUUGCAUUAUGGCGGACUGAAUUUUUUGGAAAAGGAGAAAAAAAUGCAUAUGCCUUUGGCUUUGAAUCUGGGCAGUGUUCAUUAUUUUGCUUAUAAUUUACAAAUCAGAAGACAUUUAUCACUAAGAAUCACAAAAUUUCCCUCUGUUUGCUUUACAAAGUGUUCUUUCUGUAUAAUUUUGAAUGUUUUAAGUUUUGAUUAUUCAAUCUCCAAACUUAAUAUCUGACUUUUCUCAAUUGUACUGUUUUUGCAAAUUUAAUGCACAAUUGAUCACAUACAUCGGAAGAUGACAUCAAUUGGAGUGUAGACUCAGUGAGAUUCUACGUGUUUUUCUGAGUUUUACUGGAUUCUUCCAUUCGCACCAUGGAUAAAGGAUUUUAAUUUGCCCACAAAAAAAAUGCAACAUAUGGUCUUUACACUAUUUGCUGCAGCAAAUCGUAUGAAUGUGACUAUAUUUGAAGUUAGAUUGUCUGCACAGACACCUGGAAUAUUUCAAAUAUCGCACAAUUGGCAAGGAGCGAUGGGGUUGCAUUACUGGUGAAUAGCUUGAAGCCAGCUCUGCUUUUCGUCAACCUUCUAAGUCAUUUUGAGGCCUAUUCUUGACCACUAUUGUACAGUCAUCAAUGCAACUUUUAUAGUGAAGUGUUAAAAUGAAAUAAUUGUAGAAAAAUGGUAAAAUAAUUAGUUAAUGUCAGUUGUUCAUAUGCAGUGUUUGGACACAUUGCAAAUCAAGUGUUAUUUGUAUGCAUCAUAUUUCAAAUUGCUCUUGCAGAAGUCACAUUGAUAAGUAUGGUGACUGCAUGAUCUGUUCUAUUCUAUGAGCUACUGCAUCCAAUUUCUGCAUUUCUUUACAUAGAACAGGUUUUUGCACUAUCGUACAGAGUCAGGUAAUGAAAGAGAGAAUUGAAAACUGCUGACACCACAACAAUUUAGUAAGCAACAGUAAAAACAGAAGACACACGGAAAAUAGAAAUGACAGUCAGCUUAUUAAACCGAUUCCACAUUGUCAAUUCUUCACAUCAAUCUGUAGAAUGGAGAACCUGUCAUUUUGUUGUGAAUUAAGAAAUUAACUCUGGACCAAUUCAGCACUGGUAAGGAUUCAUAGUUGCAACAUUAGACCUAUUAGAUGUUUGUUCUUGAAUUCAACAUAAAGAGCUUCUGGGCUCCAAUUUAUUAAUUACAUUGAUGACGUUAAUCAAUCAAUUUUCCCUAUUCACAGCCUUUUACUAAUACUGGGUUUAAACAUGCUGAGGCUAUUUUCAAAAUGUUCAGUACAAUUUUUUUUUUGUUAUCUUUCUUUAUACCCUCAUAGUGUAUCAGGUGGAUUUGGAGAUGUAUUCAUUUAAGAUGAAUGAUGUAUGCAAAGCAAAGCUGAUUUUAUAAGGCUGGUUCAGAAUGUCAGAUAUUGUAACAAAUUUUACAGAACAGAACAAAAGAACUGUUCAACUGGAAUUACUUACAGUGGCAUUUGAGAACAGCAUGCCUUUUCAUAGCCUAAAAUUAAUUCAGUGACAAGGCAAUCUGCCUUGUCUGAUGUUUGACAGCAAAAAUUAUAUUUCAACUUCAUUCAGUUAUUUCUUUUUUAUGCUUAAAGGCAGUAGAAUUUUUACAAUUUCUUUAUUGGAAGUUACAGUACCCAUUAAUAAGAGAUAGCUAUUAAAUAUUGCAGAUAACUGUUGAGGAAAAUUGCAGCAAAAAAUCUCUUCAGACUCUGAUACUGAAACACUCUGCAGUUGCUUGCCCACCUUCGUUCACAUGAUCCCUCACACGUAGGAACGGGCUAUUCAAUAUAAUCAUAUUUGUACCUCAAAUUCAACCUUUCCCUGUACAACCUUGAUGCCUCUAGUGUCUCGAACUCUACCUAGUUUUUCUUUCUGAAAUAUAUUCAGUGAUGUGGCCUCCGCAGUCUUAUGCAUUAGACAAUUUUAAAGGUUCACCAUCCUGACAGUGAAGAAAAUUCUCUUUGCAGUCCUAAAUGAUCUACUCUGUAUCCAAAGACCAUGACCCUGUUGGAUAGUUGCCCAUACACUGGGUCUUUCCAGCUUGCUACUCAAUGUCAAGAGCGUGGAUCUGAAGGACAGUAUGAACAACUGAAUUAACAAAUAUAGGUGCAAACAAAGCAAGUAACACAACUUGUUUUAAAACAUAAUUUUGAGUAAAUCUUGGCAUUAAUAAGAAAAAUAUUUGAUUUAUCCUUAUAGUCAACUUUGAAUGCAUGCUGUGUCUAAUCCUGAGAGCCGACAUACGGUAAAAUACUGUUAAUUGAAAACAAACUCUCAGAAAUGUUUCUUAAAUUAAAAUUUUUCUACUGGUCUAUCAGUGACACAAAUAUAAUCCAACCUAUCCGCAGAAAAUGAGCUUAGCAGAGCAUAUAUAGCGGUCCUCGCAACAGCUUUUAAUUGAGACUAACCUUAUUUUUGCAUUCAGUCUCAUAUUUAGAUUCUCUGGUGACUACAUUAUCAUUGAGUCAGCAUUGCUAACAGAAGACUAUAACAACUAAAUGUCAACCAAACAGAAUAAAGCAAUUACGCUCAGUGGUACAAUGUAGGUCCGACUGAGCUUGUGUGACUAAUUGUCAUAUUAAUUGCUAAUUUGGUGGUUCAGUAGGUACAUACAUUCUUUGCAAUGAUCAUUCCAGUGGGAGAUAGCUUAGUAAACCUGAAAAUGCAAAUUCUUGUCAGGCUUGUGAGAAGGCAAAUGUAACAGUAUUCUAAUUUUAGGUCUCUUUUACUCCCUAAAUAGCUGGUUGCUGCUCCAAUUCCUGGACUGAAACUUGGUUUCACUGAAAUGAUCAUUUUGUAGCAGUCAUUGAAUUCCUAACUUCAUCCCUCUCCCCCGAGCACACCAAUCCUCUAAACCAUCAGCUACAGCUUGAGGAUUUUUUUUUAUUUUUCAGAUGUGGUUGGAUGCUUACUAACUAGGAUAUGUUGUUUAUUGCACAUGAAUAAGACAAAAACAAGCAAAUCCCUCAAAUGCGAGCUAAGGAAAAUUGUUAUUGGCAACCUCAACAAACAAUGGUGAAAUGACUAUGUUGAUAUUCUUUGGGUAUUUUUUCCCAAGGAUUGUGACUUAGUUGUUUUGACAGUAGGCAAACCAAACAUGGAGCGUUCUCUAAUGAAGUAGUAAUACUGAAGUGAGAUGUGUGGUUAGAAGAAUGUCACAAAUUUUUUGAAGGCUUAGUUCAAGCAGUAUUUUAAAAUUCCAUAACACACAAUGAAAAUGGUGGAUCCAUUGGUGACAAGAUUUCCAGUUGACAGAUGUGUCAAUACCAACUAAUCUGCUUUAAUUUAUAGGUGCCACUGGAAUAAAUCCUGUAACCCAGCUAAUCAACAGCCUUAUGUAGUUACUGAACUUCCUAUCCAUUUUUGGUAUUGACUUCAAUCGUGGAACAAUCUGUUGCAUGUUGAUUUUUGAACACUCUUGGAAAGUGAACUCCUCCUUUGUAAAUUGGCUCCUCCAAGAAUUUGUACUUUCGUCUUGGAAAAUUAGAGCUGAUGUCAGAAAAACCAUUAAGUUUCUUGAAAUAUUAUGUUUCCAGCAAUUACAUAGACCUUUGUUCUGUUAACAUCCAUUUCAGAACAACAGGCUAACAAAAAUAAUGAUUUGGUUUCAGGAAAAAACAAAAAGUUAGCCAGCACUGUAUCAGUCUGUCAUUGUAUUCUACACUGUCGGAUUUCCCAUUGUGUACAACUACUACCAAGAUAGUAUUGUCCAAUAAAACAAAAGGCAUUCAAGAAGGGUCUAUGUUGUCUUAAAGUAUACUGAAAGCGCAAGGACCAAGCAGAUCCAACCCUCUUCACAAAAGGUUCUGCAUCUCUAAUGAUGCCAGCAGAACUCUAUAAAGACAAUUUAACUACAAGCAGAUCUCUCUCACCACUGAUCAUUUCUGCACCAGAAAUUAAAACAAUAGUGUUACUGGCGAAAGAUUUUGAGGUCAACCAUGCAAAAAAAAACACAUUUUCUUAUCCACCUCUUCUACCACCCACUGAGGAACAAAACAUUAAGUAGGUAUCAACAAUUUCACUUUCAGUUUAUUUUAUUUCAUAUGACAUUAGUUUCUUUUUCUAAUUCUGAUUUGUAAGUGCUAACGGUGUGGUUAGUUAGCUGAUAAACCAUUAAAUUGAGACUUUUCUGUUUAGAAAUUAUCUACACGGAAAUGGCUAAGCGAUCAAUGGAAGAUUUCCAGUCUUGCUUUUUGUAGAGAAUGUCUGUGAACGUCACUUUUUCCUCUAGACAACAUUGAAAAUCAAUUUGGACACUUUAUGGGUGGAUAUAAAAACAACAUUUUCCUCUACUCUUCUACCUCUCUCCCCUUUUAGCACAGGAAAUUGGGACCUGGCCCGUAUUUAUAAGUUGUGUAUUUUGUCUGCAUAAGAUUAUUGUUAAGGUAUCUAAUAUUGUUGCAACAAUCAUUUGUGAUACAUGGUGUUUGCAUCCCAGAAGCUGUAACUUAUUUCCAAAAACUGGUUUCUCAGCCAGAGGAUUCAUACAAGUCCAUAGUAUAAAAUGCCUGUCUGGGAGUUAUAACAAUGUUCAAGGGAUAGGCUAAUGUAAGUGGCAAGAUUUCCUUCUGUGUGAAGCAAAAGUAAUUUGACUUAAAAAUAUCUAUGAGGUACUUUUAAAAAUGUCACUGGUAGGUACAGCAAUAAGCUAAUUGUUACUGGCGCCAUUCAGAUAAUUUGUGUGCAUGACAUAUGUUUUUACACAAAUUGAUCUCUAAUUUGACACAUGUGCUGACAUUCUUGUUUAAAAUGGCUGUGGUCAAAGGGCAGAUAAGGUGAAUUUCCUUUGGUCAUUUCUAGAAAACCAAAAUUACCUGUGAAAUAGAAGUCUCACUUAAAAUUUUGAUAUGGGUUUCCACCACUGGAUACCAUUUUAAAUGAGUUCUUUUUAGGUGAAGAUUAAUUAGGAAUCAGUAAUGUUACCACAUUGGUGUAUUAGGAUACAAAACUGGAGCUUGAUCAGUUUAUAAUCAUUAGUCGCUGUUUUGAAGUACCACAUGGAUUUUACAUGUACAUAUGUGUGAUUGGCAGCAGCUAUUUUGUCCCAUUUUCACUAACAAUGUUAUACAUCAUCGUGUAUUUUGAGAGACAAUUUCAUACAAGAUAAUUCCUCAGCCACAAAGAUUAAAGGAUUAAUAAAUACAUGUUUUAUUAUGUCAUCCUAAUUUGACUGCUUUUGCCUGGAGUGAAUUUCUCUAAAUAUGGUGUGUACUUAAAAUAUGAAUUUCUGUCAUACUACUAAGAGUUGUACUAAUUAGAUUGAGUUGAAAUUUCUUUAACUUGUUAACGAUUCUAUGAUGUAAAUUGCUCCUUUAAAGUUUUUGAGAAGAUUUGUAGCUUGGGUUGUAGAAGAGGUUGUAGUCUUGCUUGCCAAGCCAGCGUAUUUGGUUGCAAAUGUUUUGUCACCCUGCUAGGUAAAAUCAACAGUCUGCCUCCGGUGAAGCAAUGGUUUACUGUUUGUUAUUUAUAUGCCUAAUUUUCCUGGGGUGGUUGGCAUUACUUCCGGUUCUGUUUUUCAUUGGUUUUUAUAUUGGGUUCAGUUCAACGUGUUUGUUGACGGAGUUCCAGUUGGAAUACCAGGAUUUCCAUGACAUGUCUCUGUUUGGCUUGUGCCAUUAUGGUUGUGUUGUCCCACUCAAAUUUGUGUCCUUUUUUGUCCAUCUGUAUAGACACCAGUGAGAAUUGGUCGUGUCUCUUGGUGGCUAAUUGGUGUUCGUGUAUCCUUAUUGUCAGUUUUCUUCCAGUUUGGCCUCUGUCAUGUUUUCACAGUCCUUGCAUGGUAUUUUGUCACUUACGUUAAGUUUUGUUGGUUGUGGGUAUGGGAUCCUGUACAUUUGUCAGUAGCUGUUGUAGAGUGGUUGUUGGUUAAGUGUCUGAUCCUUAUAGAUACUUCAUGACACCAGCAACCAACCCAACACCCAUAAAUGGAGCUGCAUCAGGACAUUGUCAAAACGAGCCACAACACACUGCAGCAACCCAGAAAUGUGCAAAGCAGAACAGGAACACGUAUGCGGAGAUUUUAAAAGGAAUGGAUACCCAAAAAGCACAACUUGCUGUUACCUCCACGACAGACCACAACAUGAAGGCACAACACGGCCAGACAUACUAGUCACCCCACUGUACAUCAGAGACAUAUCAGAGAUGACCACAAGACUACUCAGAUCCCCAAGUAUCAGGGUUGCUCAUAAACCAACAACCACUCUCUACAAGAGCUACUGACUAACGUCAAGGAUCCCAUACCCACAAGCAAUAAAACUAAUGUAA